AUGAUCAUUAGCACCACUUCUGGACUAUGCUGUACUCUAGAGGCUGUGGACUGUGUAGAGACUGGGAGACGAGUGGAGGCAGGCUGCAACAAGGGACAAGGGCUGGUGCCUCCUCAUUACGAACCAGACCUGGACCCAGUCGGUAUCAGAUGUGGUGACCCCACUUGGUGACCCUGCCCGCCUGUGGGGAAAACAACUUGUGGUUACCAUGUUGGUUCACAGCAAAAACUUGACCUUUUUCAAAUGUAUUUUUCUUGCUGUCUGCUUGUUUUAGUAAAUUACAAAACUACAUUUAAGAAAAGUACAACAUGUCUAAAGAUGACUUUUCAACAUUGCCUGCUCCCGAGCGUUCUCACUACUUAGAAAUACGUAAUAUUGUAUGUUGUAGGGGUUCCCUCAUGCCCCUUUUCAUGAUGGUGAUGGCAGCCAUGUGAGUGCUAGCUAGGUAGCGACCGGAACAUUAAGCUAGCCAAGACCAACAACACAAACAAAAGGACUAUACUAAACAAGUUAAAUGUCUUGCCUGUGAUGAAAUGUUUUCCACACACAUAGCUACGUAUAGUCUACUUGGACACCGCGUCCCCACACUUCCCACUCUCCCACUCUGAAUACCCUGAAGCCUGAAGUGUGUGUAUGUGCUGUGUGCAAGUGUUAAACUUCAAGAACAUUGACAAGAGGCAGUAGGCCUACUUAAACAUUGGGAGCAUUAAUAAGCUGUAUGUUACAGUGACUUUUGUGUUGUUUAUAGUGCCAUUAAAAAAAUUCUGAUGCAGAUUAUUUUGUGUUUCUUUCCCUUACAAUCAAAACAUAGUAUGCCUGUAACUCAAUGCAUAGGAAAAUUGUUUAUUUAUGGCCAAAUCUGAGCUAAUUCUAAAAUUGCGAUUAAUUAAGGGAUGCCAUUAAGUCGCUUCAUUAUUUUAAUUAUUUGACAGCCCUAGUUUAUGUUGUACCCUGUUGGGUUAGGGGAAGGGUUAACUGCAUUUAAACUGCAGUGAUUGAUGACCCAUUGACAGGGCAUUAUAACACUUAAACUUAAACUUUAAGAUAUGAAGAUAGACUAGAAAAAACAAUGCCAAAAUAUCAAGUCAACCGUGUUGAUAUUGUUGAAAAUGUUGUUUUAAUAUAAUUUUGAGAUUGGAUAGGCCUACCCAUUUAGAUGAGAUGUUGCUACACUGAGUGUACAAAAUAUUAGGAAUACCUGCUCUUUCCAUGACAUAGACUGACUAAGUAAAUCCAGGUGGAAGCUAUGAACCCUUAUUGAUGUCACUUGUUAAAUCCACUUCAAUCAGUGUAGAUGAAGGGAAGGAGACAGGUUAAAGAAAGAUUUGUAAGCUUUGAGACAAUUGAGACAUGGAUUGUGUAUUUGUGCCAUUCGAAGGGUGAAUGGGGAAGACAAAA
rnacentral:lncRNA from 1 species